rnacentral:tRNA from 1 species
GGCGGCGUAGCUCAGUUGGUUAGAGCGUGGGCUUCAUAAGCCCGAGGUCCGCGGUUCGAGUCCGCGCGCCGCUA